rnacentral:rRNA from 1 species
CCUACGGGUGGCAGCAGUGAGGAAUAUUGGUCAAUGGACGAGAGUCUGAACCAGCCAAGUCGCGUGAAGGAAGACUGCCCUAUGGGUUUUAAACUUCUUUUAUAAAGGAAUAAAACGAGGCACGUGUGCCUUUUUCCAUGUACUUUAUGAAUACGGAUCGGCUAACUCCGUGCCAGCAGCCGGGGUAAUACGGAGGACCCGCGCGUUCUCCGGAUUUAUGGGGUUUAAAGGGAGCGUAGAUGGGUUGUUAAGUCAGUUGUGAAAGUUUGCGGCUCAACCGUAAAAUUGCAAUUGAGACUGGCAGUCUGGAGUACAGUUGAGGUAAGCGGAAUUCGUGGUGUAGCGGUGAAAUGCUUAGAUAUCACGAAGAACCCCGAUUGCGAAGGCAGCUUAUUAAACUGUGACUGACAUUGAUGCUCGAAAGUGUGGGUAUCAAACAGGAUUAGAUACCCUUGUAGUC